AAAAAAAUUAAAUAAUUAUACCAAAAUAGUAAAUAAUGUUUUAUUGAAACUUAAAUAAUUUGGCGGUAUUUUAGUUCAUUUAGAGGAAUCUGUCUAAUAAUUGAUAAUCCACGAAUAAAUUUACUUAAUUUAAAAUUUUAUAUAUCGUUGUUAAAAAAAUAUUUUAAAAAAAAAAUAAUAUUUAAAAAUUUUGAAAAUAAAUUAACUCAGAUCAAGAUGUAGAUUAUAAUUAAGAAUAUGAUGGAUUACAAUAAUAAUAAUUAAAUGAAUAUUUAAUUUGAAAAAAUAAAUUGAAGGUGGAUUUAAAUGUAAUUUUAUUUAAUUUAAUAAAAUGAUUAAAAAUUGAAAUAUGUACAUAUUGCCCGUCACUUUCAUUUAAAAAUUGAAAUAAGUCGUAACAAAGUAGAGGUACUGGAAAGUGUUUCUAGAAAGA
rnacentral:rRNA from 1 species